AUUUUAUAAAGAAAAGAAACGAGAGAAGGCGAGAACUUGCCUGCAAACGGUGACGAAGACGGCUUCAGAUUGGAAACGGUCUGGGGCUUCAGGGCUUUGAAGGAAGAAAAGACAUUCGUGAAUUAGCUUGCUUGGAUUCGAUUCUUCGAUUGAGCGAGUAUUCCACAGACUUCGACUCGACCUCAGCUCUAGUCAGUCUCAAGAUCAUCGGAUUUUAGGGUGAGCUAUCCUUCUAGCUCGUGAUGGAUUCUCUCGGUUAUGACCUAGUGUCUUUAGUUUUCGGACACAUUUUGUUAUUUGUUCAUUUUGGUGCUUGAUAUUUCCAGACUUAGUUUUAGAAUUUAGAUGUCCUUCAUGUGAUGACUUUCAGAUUUUGGGGAACGUCAAGUAAUAGAUUUUAGUGGUUUUUGUUAUUUCUGACUUUAAUAAGAUUGAGCUUCCGCA